UGGGGAAUAUUGGACAAUGGGCGCAAGCCUGAUCCAGCCAUGCCGCGUGAGUGACGAAGGCCUUAGGGUUGUAAAGCUCUUUUGGCGGGGAAGAUAAUGACGGUACCCGCAGAAGAAGCCCCGGCUAACUCUGUGCCAGCAGCCGCGGUAAUACAGAGGGGGCAAGCGUUGUUCGGAAUCACUGGGCGUAAAGCGCACGUAGGUGGAUAGUUAAGUUCGGGGUGAAAUCCCAGGGCUCAACCCUGGAACUGCCUCGGAUACUGGCUAUCUCGAGUCCGGAAGAGGUGAGUGGAAUUCCUAGUGUAGAGGUGAAAUUCGUAGAUAUUAGGAAGAACACCGGUGGCGAAGGCGGCUCACUGGUCCGGUACUGACACUGAGGUGCGAAAGCGUGGGGAGCAAACAGGAUUAGAUACCCUUGUAGUCCCUGAGCGGGCUGGCAAGGCGCAU
rnacentral:rRNA from 1 species